CCUACGGGAGUCAGCAGUGAGGAAUAUUGGUCAAUGGACGCCAGCCUGAACCAGCCAAGCCGCGUGAAGGAAGACUGCUCUACGGGUUGUAAACUUCUUUUAUACAGGAAUAAAGUGAGGUACGUGUGCCUUUCUGUAUGUAUUUUAUGAAUAAGGAUCGGCUAACUCCGUGCCAGCAGCCGCGGUAAUACGGAGGAUUCGAGCGUUAUCCGGAUUUAGUGGGUUUAAAGGGUGCGUAGAUGGGUUGUUAAGUAAGUUGUGAAAGUUGGUGGCUCAACCGUGAAAUUGCAAUUGAUACUGGCAGUCUUGAGUGCAGUUGCGGUAGGCGGAAUGCGUGGUGUAGCGGUGAAAUGCUUAGAGAUCACACAGAACUCCGAUUGCGAAGGCAGCUUACUAAGCUGCCACUGACGUUGAUGCUCGAAAGUGUGGGGAGCAAACAGGAUUAGAUACCCUUGUAGUC
rnacentral:rRNA from 1 species